GAUAAACGCCGGCGGUGUGCCUAAUACAUGCAAGUCGUACGCACUGGCCCAACUGAUUGAUGGUGCUUGCAUCUGAUUGACGAUGGAUCACCAGUGAGUGGCGGACGGGUGAGUAACACGUAGGUAACCUGCCCCGGAGCGGGGGAUAACAUUUGGAAACAGAUGAUAAUACCGCAUAACAACAAAAGCCGCAUGGCUUUUGUUUGAAAGAUGGCUUUGGCUAUCACUCUGGGAUGGACCUGCGGUGCAUUAGCUAGUUGGUAAGGUAAAGGCUUACCAAGGCGAUGAUGCAUAGCCGAGUUGAGAGACUGAUCGGCCACAUUGGGACUGAGACACGGCCCAA
rnacentral:rRNA from 1 species